rnacentral:lncRNA from 1 species
AGCGGAUUGGAGCCCGGGAAGCUCAUUGCGAUUCCAAAGGUCACGCUGAUGCAAGAGAUGGGUUCCCAUGAUCUUGGGCAGCUCCACUCCUGUGAUGCGGAAACUGAAGCUCAGAGAGCCCAAGUCAUUUGCCCAAGGUGACCCAGCACUGAAGGGAGAAGCUAGCCAUUAAGCUGUCCCCAAACCCGUGUACUCAACGUUGAUGGCUACUCGAUGGUGGCUGAGAGGCAUCCAACCUGGAGCCUGGGAAGCUUCCAGGAAGGCUUGGGGGGAAUCCAAGAGGAAGGUUCUUUGCGGGAGAAAGAGUGAGGCAGGGGAGUUUAGGAGGCCGCUUCCCAGCCCUCGAUCGCCCCACAGCCACCA